AUUGAACGCUGGCGGCAGGCCUAACACAUGCAAGUCGAACGAGUGGCGGAAGGGUGAGUAAUGUCUGGGAAACUGCCCGAUGGAGGGGGACAACUACUGGAAACGGUAGCUAAAACCGUAUAACAUCGGCUGUGCCCAGAUGGGAUUAGCUAGUAGGAGGGUGAACGGCGAACCUAGGCGACGACCCCUAGCUGGUCUGAGAGGAUGACCAGUCACACUGGAACUGAGACACGGUCCAGACUCCUACGGGAGGCAGCAGUGGUGAAGAUUGCACAAUGGGCGCAAGCCUGAUGCAGCCAUGCCGCGUGUAUGAAGAAGGCCUUCGGGUUGUAAAGUACUUUCAGCGAGGAGGCGUUACUCGCAGAAGAAGCACCGGCUAACUCCGUGCCAGCAGCCGCGGUAAUUC
rnacentral:rRNA from 1 species